GAUCCGUAACUUGGUCUGAGAGGAUGAUCAGUCACACUGGAACUUGAGACACGGUCCAGACUCCUACGGGAGGCAGCAGUGGGGAAUAUUGGACAAUGGGCGAAAGCCUGAUCCAGCCAUGCCGCGUGUGUGAAGAAGGUCUUCGGAUUGUAAAGCACUUUAAGUUGGGAGGAAGGGCAGUUACCGUAAUACGUGAUUGUUUUGACGUUACCGACAGAAUAAGCACCGGCUAACUCUGUGCCAGCAGCCGCGGUAAUACAGAGGGUGCAAGCGUUAAUCGGAAUUACUGGGCGUAAAGCGCGCGUAGGUGGUUUGUUAAGUUGGAUGUGAAAUCCCCGGGCUCAACCUGGGAACUGCAUUCUAAAACUGACUGACUAGAGUAUGGUAGAGGGUGGUGGAAUUUCCUGUGUAGCGGUGAAAUGCGUAGAUAUAGGAAGGAACACCAGUGGCGAAGGCGACCACCUGGACUAA
rnacentral:rRNA from 1 species